CACUGCUCAAGGCAAUCUUUUGGGACAGAGUGCUGCAUACAUGGGCUUAUGCACAAACUGAGAUUUUGCAAGUCAACUGUCAAAGUCAUAAAGAGAGAUAGUGGACAAUGUUGAACAGAGUUGAAGUCCUGGAAUCUCGGUCAACUGCAGAUAGCAGCAUGGCGUAAAGCAGACGUCUAGUUUCCCAGUCCAAUUUUAGUCAGGUAUUCUUGGUGGUAUGAAACUGCAGUCAACACAGG
rnacentral:lncRNA from 1 species